AUGGCUAUAUCAUGUUGAAACACUUGUUCUCAUAUGAUCACUGGAGUUAAGCAAUGUUGUGCCUGGUCAGUACUUGGAUAGGUGACUGCUUAGAAAUACCAAGUGCUGUAAG